rnacentral:tRNA from 1 species
CCGGAGAUAGCUCAGUUGGUAGAGCGGGAGACUGUAGUGGUUGUCGCUUGCGGCAGGCCGGUUAUCUCUAGGUCCUUGGUUCAAAUCCGAGUCUCCGGA